GAUGAACGCUGGCGGCGUGCCUAAUACAUGCAAGUCGAGCGAACGGACGAGAAGCUUGCUUCUCUGAUGUUAGCGGCGGACGGGUGAGUAACACGUGGAUAACCUACCUAUAAGACUGGGAUAACUUCGGGAAACCGGAGCUAAUACCGGAUAAUAUUUUGAACCGCAUGGUUCAAAAGUGAAAGACGGUCUUGCUGUCACUUAUAGAUGGAUCCGCGCUGCAUUAGCUAGUUGGUAAGGUAACGGGUUACCAAGGCAACGAUGCAUAGCCGACCGGAGAGGGUGAUCGGCCACACUGGAACGGAGACAGGGUCCAGACUCCUACGGGAGGCAGCAGUAGGGAAUCUUCCGCAAUGGGCGAAAGCCUGACGGGGCAACGCCGCGUGAGUGAUGAAGGUCUUCGGAUCGUAAAACUCUGUUAUUAGGGAAGAACAUAUGUGUAAGUAACUGUGCACAUCUUGACGGUACCUAAUCAGAAAGCCACGGCUAACUACGUG
rnacentral:rRNA from 1 species